GCCGGGCGCGGUGGCGCGCGCCUGUAGUCCCAGCUACUCGGGAGGCUGAGGCUGGAGGAUCGCUUGAGCUCAGGAGUUCUGGGCUGCAGUGCGCUAUGCCGAUCGGGUGUCCGCACUAAGUUCGGCAUCAAUAUGGUGACCUCCCGGGAGCGGGGGACCACCAGGUUGCCUAAGGAGGGGUGAACCGGCCCAGGUCGGAAACGGAGCAGGUCAAAACUCCCGUGCUGAUCAGUAGUGGGAUCGCGCCUGUGAAUAGUCACUGUACUCCAGCCUGGGCAACAUAGCGAGACCCCGUCUCUU
rnacentral:SRP_RNA from 1 species